ncrna:unclassified sequences IMES-2 RNA motif
AAAUGAAUUAAGGGGCAACCCUUAACUGGCCGAUUGGGGAAAAACCGAGAGGUUCAAGCCCAGGGGGCAGAAAGUUCUACGGAGUAGCGCUAAAAUCGUAGAGCGGUCAUGGCUUGGCGGUAGCGCAUACAACGACGAGCCAA